rnacentral:rRNA from 1 species
UUUACGGAGAGUUUGAUCCUGGCUCAGGACGAACGCUGGCGGCGUGCUUAACACAUGCAAGUCGAGC